AGUGAACGCUGGCGGUAGGCCUAACACAUGCAAGUCGAACGGCAGCACAGUAAGAGCUUGCUCUUACGGGUGGCGAGUGGCGGACGGGUGAGGAAUACAUCGGAAUCUACUUUUUCGUGGGGGAUAACGUAGGGAAACUUACGCUAAUACCGCAUACGACCUACGGGUGAAAGCAGGGGAUCUUCGGACCUUGCGCGAUUGAAUGAGCCGAUGUCGGAUUAGCUAGUUGGCGGGGUAAAGGCCCACCAAGGCGACGAUCCGUAGCUGGUCUGAGAGGGUGAUCAGCCACACUGGAACUGAGACACGGUCCAGACUCCUACGGGAGGCAGCAGUGGGGAAUAUUGGACAAUGGGCGCAAGCCUGAUCCAGCCAUACCGCGUGGGUGGAGAAGGCCUUCGGGUUGUAAAGCCCUUUUGUUGGGAAAGAAAAGCAGCAGGUUAAUACCCCGCUGUUCUGACGGUACCCAAAGAAUAAGCACCGGCUAACUUCGUG
rnacentral:rRNA from 1 species